AAGCACACUGUAAAAGCAAAUAGUAAUCCUUACUCUAAAAAUGCUAGUAUGCUUACUUGUUUUUAACCAAACUGUUGAGUUUACUUAAAACGGUUAAUUGUUCUUUAAAUGUUACACUACAAAGUUCACAUAACUAAUGCAAUUUAAGUAAACUUACUCAAAAUAUCCAAGACGUUCUAUUGAGCAUGCGCAUUUGAGCACAUUUCCCCUCCCCCACACCUGGACGAAGCACAUGGAGUGACUCAUGAGGAAGAUUCUCAAAGGAAGUUUUAACAUUACCCUCUGCAACUUUAAGGUAAUUAACACAACAUUUUCUAUUUUUCUUGUUUGCUUGUCCUUAUUGUCGACACAUUUUCCACAAUUAUAUGCAUGCAUGCUGUUUUGACGAGUUUAUUACGAUGUUAGGCCUAAGUUACAUUUAACAUUACCGGGUCAAUUGGUGCAAAAAUACAACCAAUUUGAACAAAUCUUUACUUAAAUUAAAUAUAAAGGGGCAAAAAACCAAAUGUAUAAUUAAACUAAGUAUAUAUUACAAGAUAGUCUGCUCAUGUUUGCAAUAAAGAUUGUUUUUGCAACGUUAUACAUUAAACCAAUCACACGUGCGAUGUCCAAACAGAUGCGUUUUGAAUGCUUCAUCGUUGUAGAGAAACGCGAGGUUUUCAUGAAUAACAAACGUGCAUAUUUGAUAUAGAGUUGCCGCGGUGACAGAAUUUUCUCACCGGUUAAUCGGCGCGUCACAAACCCGGUGAUCCCGGUUUCACCGGGUGGGAGGGGCUUAUAAAUGCGCAUGCAGACGUACACAUUUUACUUUCACUUUUGAAUUACGCAACUGUUUAAAUGCAGUGCUUGCGUACGCUGCGUUAAAUCGCAUAUGAACUUGCGUGCAAUGCGAGUGCAACCACUGGUUUAAUUAAGUGCUUAAGUCAAUGUGCCCAGGUAAUUCUCACAGAACCCCUCAGUCCCAAGCAGAGCAACCGCCUACUUCUCCAUAAAGCGCUGCUUGAAUGAUGGCUUUAUUAUUUUUCUUGAUGAAAAACACAAGAACAAAAAGAUAUCGGUUAUAUUAAACAUCAUUUAUGUAUAUUUUAACAAAUACGAGUAAGCACGCGGCUUCUGCCUUCGUAUGGUCAGUCAGCUCGCCUCGCACACUCUGACAGGAAUAAAUGAAAUCUGACACCUGCUGCUCUCUGUGACGUGACGCGCGUUCGGCUCCGCUAAAUUCAGUCAGCAGACACUUUCAGUUGUAAGUGUUUGCUCUCGCUAAUGAAACUAAAUGAUGUAAUUACACGAAAAUAUCAAAACAACGGUGAAAGACGGUGUCGCGGUGGGCAAGUGAUCUAACCGGUGAGAGGCUGAAGCACCGGUUAUCACCGUUUCACCGACCAUCGCGGCAAGCCUAAUUUGAUAUAAUAAAGCAAUGAGCCAAAAUAAGCAGUCUUUUACAGUAAUUUAAGAACUGUCAUGCAAGACUUAGUCCAAUACUUGAAUGGGGAAAACCGAUAUCUCUAAAAUCACGUGCUGAUAUCACAAUUAACGUAACACAACACAUUUCCGACCAACAAUUAAGCCUGAUAUUAACUGUACCAUAAUAUUUGUAUAAACGUCUUUUCUCUAGUUAGUUAUACUGAGCAUGCGCAAAGAUUGGCAAUCGCCUCGCUACUCCCUAUAUAAAGCCCCUCCCCAGAGAAGCGUCAGCAUUUAUAGAUUAGCCUUAUGGUGCUUUAUUAUUUCUUUUCUGAAACUUUGAUUUCGUUUACUUGGAAAGGAUUGAUCAAAUAAACGGAGCAAUUGUGCGUAGUUGUGUGUGUGUGCGCGCGCAACAUUACGGCUGCCAAGCAACAACACAGACGCAGUAAAAGGCUUGCCAAAUCGACGUCACCCUAAAUGCGCCGGUUUGACGCGUUCAUGCAAUGUUUUGAGGGAGACGCUAAUUUUACUCGUUUAUCCUCGGUCGAGGACAACGCGGAAAAAAGAAGAUAAUAGAUGCAAACAGAUAACCUGCUGGUUUCCUUCUGCCAUGCAGUGGAAAUAAUUUCAGCCAGCAAUGUCAAUGAUGUUUCGCGUUAUUGUGCACGACAGUGAAAUUCGAAAGGUUGUGAUUUCAGAAAAAACAGCUGAUGUUGAUGCCUUGAAACGUGUGCUUCAAGAGAAGUUGCAAGUCACAUAUUCUUUCAAUGUCCAAUUUGAAGACCCUGACUUUAAUCAUGCAUUAUGCAACCUAAGUGAUAUUAAUGAUUUGCCAGAUAAGGCAACAUUGAAAAUAAUUCCUCUAUCAACUUCUCCCUCCUCAAGUCAGGCCGACACUGUACUUCUCUCAGGUUCGGAUACAUCAGAGCAGUUGUCUGCUGAACGCCAAAGUGAGUGGCCAGAGGAUUUUGAAAUCCCUGAAUUUUCUGUUAAUGUUGAGUAUCGUCUCCGUCAGGGAAACCUUGCUUUUAUGAAAGAUGGUACAAGUCUUGAUGUUGGAAGAGACAUUAAAAAUGACAUAUUGGAAUCACUUGCGGGUGCCAUGUACACUUUUAAGGCAUAUCCAUCAGAUGAAAACUUUGCUCAAGUUGCUACCGCUCUUAUCAGAGCACACCCCUGCUUGACUGAACCGGGUUCUUCAACAGGAUCAGCUGGAUGGAAAAAACAGCCUGAAAUUUAAAAUGGCCAACUACAGAACAAAACUGCGUAAAUGUGGCUGUAGUGAUGUUGCUGUUGAGGGAAAGAGAGGUGCAGAAGCAGGCAGUGCUUUCAGGAGAAGCAUUAAAAAACCUAGACGAUUUGAAGUAAAUUUUUUGCCAAAUUUUCCUAACGGGGAGAAUGAAGACAGUCAAGAACGCCUGAGAAAAGAACUUGUAGAAGAAAUGAAAAAGAAGAGCCGAGACAUGAGCCUCAUUGGCCAAAAGAUGGACAGUACAUUUGCCCUGAGACGGAAGGAAAUCAUUCACUCUGAACCUCCUUUUUCUGAGAUCUUGGAAAAAUGGCCACUACUUUUCACAGAAAGCCAGAUCUUUGCAGAAUUCAAUCGUAUAUCUGGCAAGAAUCUGCGAUCUGAAUUCUAUGCAGCACUGGACAAACACUCUGCACGUUUCCUUUAAAUUUUCCGGAAGAAAGGGGGAACUCAAGGACGAACACUUGAUGAAAUUUUACGUCAGGUUGAUUUAAAGUCAUCUGAUGUAUCUUGUGUGCGUACAGCUGUACUUCAUGGACUUCCAGUUCUCCUGGGGGAUGACUCGGAUGAGUUUUUCAAGACGUGCUUUGUAAGUAAUGUUGGUGUUUCUGCUUUAAGUUUUGUUUCAUGAUUGUAUGGAUCAGGUUAUGAGAAGGAGUAUACAGUAGACAGACUAAAGCCCAGUAUACACUGCACGAUUAUUGGCUGUCCCAGACGAAAGAUUGCCAUCGUGAAACAAUCGUCGCGAUUUCUGUGAUCGUGGCUCUCCAUCGGUGGUCCUAUGUUGUACAAUGAGAGAGGUUCAAAGACGGCCAUUUUCCCGGUCUUGCAUCCAAAGAUAGCCUACAAUAGUUUUCUGACAGUGUCAGAAAUUCGGCAUGAUCACCGCACAGUGUGUUUGCUGCUACGACCUGCGCGCCGGUAUUUGUUUACCGCGAGCGCAUGCUGGUGACGUUGCGCCACGUAUGACGCUGCCACCGAAGCUUCCAUGUCAUCAUCGUAUAGUCUACAUGCCUCUCGUAACCGAGUUUAAACGAUACAUGGCACACAGUGUGAUAAGGUAAUGAUCUUAUAAGAGGACAAAAAUCGUGCAGUGUAUUCCGGGCUUAAGGGGCCAAUCACACAUGGCAGUUGCAGGCACCUUUUUUAAAUGAUAUUCUAUGGGCAGGGAGCAUGUGCGCGCUGUUUAUGCGUUUAUAUGUAUGCAAUAUGGCAAUUCAUAAAAGAUCGCUCCUAAAAUCUAUAUGUGUACAUUAGUUCAAAUACAGUAAAGUAUCAUUACUAACUCUUGGGUUGUUCAAACCUCUGACUUUUCUUUGUUUAUUGGAAACAAAACAAAAUUUAUAUUUGUUUGGCAGUGUAUGGUACCUAUAUCUUUAGCUUAAAAAAACACGAGUUAUUUAAUAAUUCUUUGUAAACAAAGAAAGUCAUAGGGGUUCUAAGUAGGGCUGCACAAUAAAUCCUAUGCGAUAUUACGCGCAUCUCCUCAGUAAAGCCGGUUCCUUGAUUA